GGUUGGUCGGAGUGCAGUGCUGUUUACAACUAAUUGGUCACAACCAGUUACAGAUUCCUUCCUUUGUUCCUUCUCCAAUCCCACUGCUUCACUUGACCAGCCUUAA
rnacentral:Y_RNA from 1 species